GUAGUCCACGCCCUAAACGAUGCGAACUGGACGUUGGGAGCAAUCAGGCUCUCAGUGUCGAAGCUAACGCGUUAAGUUCGCCGCCUGGGGAGUACGGUCGCAAGACUGAAACUCAAAGGAAUUGACGGGGGCCCGCACAAGCGGUGGAGUAUGUGGUUUAAUUCGAUGCAACGCGAAGAACCUUACCUGGCCUUGACAUCCACGGAAGUCUGCAGAGAUGCGGAUGUGCCUUCGGGAACCGUGAGACAGGUGCUGCAUGGCUGUCGUCAGCUCGUGUCGUGAGAUGUUGGGUUAAGUCCCGCAACGAGCGCAACCCUUGUCCUUAGUUGCCAGCGCGUAAUGGCGGGAACUCUAAGGAGACUGCCGGUGACAAACCGGA
rnacentral:rRNA from 1 species